rnacentral:lncRNA from 1 species
GGAAAGUUAAUGAUGACUAUUUUUAAAAGUUUGUUUUUUUUUUUGUUGUUUCUCUGUUUUAACGUAUAUAAACCGAAUAAGUUAUGUGAAACUUAUCUGUACUGUCUUAUGUUAGUUAUCUAUCCAGUUUUUCUUAUAACAAUAUAAAAUAUAUCAUUUAUAAUGAUUAUAUUUGUAUUUUACAUGAUUUUUUAGUAUUUCAAUAAAUUUUUAUGUCUGAAUUCGCAAAUUAUGUUUUUAUUUUGAAAUCCUGAAAUGACAAUUUUUUUAGAAAAUAUAUUAUUUUAAAUUAGAAUUUUUUUUUUAAUUUUUUUCCUCUAAUUUAUGAAAAAAAUUGUAGAAUUAAAUUCUGAAGAAAAUGGUUCUGAAUGCGAUUUCUUUGAC